rnacentral:rRNA from 1 species
GAUGAACGCUAGCGGCAGGCUUAACACAUGCAAGUCGAGGGGUAGAAGGAGCUUGCUCCUUUGAGACCGGCGCACGGGUGCGUAACGCGUAUGCAAUCUACCUUUUGCAGAGGGAUAGCCCAGAGAAAUUUGGAUUAAUACCUCAUAGUAUGUGAGGAUGGCAUCAUUUUCACAUUAAAGUCACAACGGCAAAAGAUGAGCAUGCGUCCCAUUAGCUAGUUGGUAAGGUAACGGCUUACCAAGGCUACGAUGGGUAGGGGUCCUGAGAGGGAGAUCCCCCACACUGGUACUGAGACACGGACCAGACUCCUACGGGAGGCAGCAGUGAGGAAUAUUGGACAAUGGCGGCAAGCCUGAUCUAGCCAUGCCGCCGUGCAGGA